GACGAACGCUGGCGGCGUGCUUAACACAUGCAAGUCGAACGGAAAGGCCCUGCUUUUGUGGGGUGCUCGAGUGGCGAACGGGUGAGUAACACGUGAGUAACCUGCCCUUGCCUUUGGGAUAACUUCAGGAAACUGGGGCUAAUACCGGAUAGGAGCUCCUGCUGCAUGGUGGGGGUUGGAAAGUUUCGGCGGUUGGGGAUGGACUCGCGGCUUAUCAGCUUGUUGGUGGGGUAGUGGCUUACCAAGGCUUUGACAGGUAGCCGGCCUGAGAGGGUGACCGGCCACAUUGGGACUGAGAGACGGCCCAGACUCCUACGGGAGGCAGCAGUGGGGAAUAUUGCACAAUGGGCGGAAGCCUGAUGCAGCAACGCCGCGUGCGGGAUGACGGCCUUCGGGUUGUAAACCGCUUUCGCCUGUGACGAAGCGUGAGUGACGGUAAUGGGUAAAGAAGCACCGGCUAACUACGUG
rnacentral:rRNA from 1 species